UGGCUCAUUAUAUAAGUUAUCGUUUAUUUGAUAGUACCUUACUACUUGGAUAACCGUGGUAAUUCUAGAGCUAAUACAUGCUGAAAAUCCCGACUUCGGAAGGGAGGUAUUUAUUAGAUUAAAAACCAAUGCCCUCUGGGCUCCUUGGUGAUUCAUAAUAACUUUUCGAAUCGCACGGCCUUGCGCCGGCGAUGGUUCAUUCAAAUUUCUUCCCUAUCAACUUUCGAUGUUUGGGUAUUGGCCAAACAUGGUCGCAACGGGUAACGGAGGGUUAGGGCUCGACCCCGGAGAAGGAGCCUGAGAAACGGCUACUACAUCCAAGGAAGGCAGCAGGCGCGCAAAUUACCCAAUCCCGAUUCGGGGAGGUAGUGACAAUAAAUACUGAUACAGGGCUCUUUUGGGUCUUGUAAUUGGAAUGAGUACAAUUUAAAUCUCUUAACGAGGAACAAUUGGAGGGCAAGUCUGGUGCCAGCAGCCGCGGUAAUUCCAGCUCCAAUAGCGUAUAUUAAAGUUGUUGUGGUUAAAAAGCUCGUAGUUGAACCUUGGGCCUGGCUGGCCGGUCCGCCUCACCGCGUGUACUGGUCCGGCCGGGCCUUUCCCUCUGUGGAACCUCAUGCCCUUCACUGGGUGUGGCGGGGAAACAGGACUUUUACUUUGAAAAAAUUAGAGUGCUCCAGGCAGGCCUAUGCUCGAAUACAUUAGCAUGGAAUAAUAAAAUAGGACGCGUGGUUCUAUUUUGUUGGUUUCUAGGACCGCCGUAAUGAUUAAUAGGGACAGUCGGGGGCAUCAGUAUUCAAUUGUCAGAGGUGAAAUUCUUAGAUUUAUUGAAGACUAACUACUGCGAAAGCAUUUGCCAAGGAUGUUUUCAUUAAUCAGGAACGAAAGUUAGGGGAUCGAAGACGAUCAGAUACCGUCGUAGUCUUAACCAUAANCUAUGCCGACUAGGGAUCGGACGAUGUUAUUUUUUNGACGCGUUCGGCACCUUACGAGAAAUCAAAGUGCUUGG
rnacentral:rRNA from 1 species